AUGCUUUGGCCUCUGUUCCUUCCCCCAAGGCAUGUGCUGGUCCUUCUGAGACCUUUAAUGGGAGGUUCUGGGUGUGACCGAGGAAAGGAAUGUGCAGAUCUCAUGAAAGAUUUCCUACUGAUCACUGCAUGUGAGGACCGCCGUGGCCGAGUGCUCUGUGUUUGCUUUGAAGUAGCCCAUGCAUCUGCAGGCUCUGCUCCUCACUCCUUCCUGACAUCCUCCGUGAUGACAUCUGUCAGGAUGAACUCCUUCCAUCGCUGUCCUCCAAACAGGGAGGCUGAUGGAGUUCGCAAUGUAAUAACCUCAUUCUCCUACAAAUCCUGA
rnacentral:lncRNA from 1 species